CCUACGGGAGGCAGCAGUGGGGAAUAUUGCACAAUGGGCGAAAGCCUGAUGCAGCGACGCCGCGUGAGGGAUGACGGCCUUCGGGUUGUAAACCUCUUUCAGCAGGGAAGAAGCGAAAGUGACGGUACCUGCAGAAGAAGCGCCGGCUAACUACGUGCCAGCAGCCGCGGUAAUACGUAGGGCGCAAGCGUUGUCCGGAAUUAUUGGGCGUAAAGAGCUCGUAGGCGGCUUGUCACGUCGGAUGUGAAAGCCCGAGGCUUAACCUCGGGUCUGCAUUCGAUACGGGCUAGCUAGAGUGUGGUAGGGGAGAUCGGAAUUCCUGGUGUAGCGGUGAAAUGCGCAGAUAUCAGGAGGAACACCGGUGGCGAAGGCGGAUCUCUGGGCCAUUACUGACGCUGAGGAGCGAAAGCGUGGGGAGCGAACAGGAUUAGAUACCCUGGUAGUCCACGCCGUAAACGUUGGGAACUAGGUGUUGGCGACAUUCCACGUCGUCGGUGCCGCAGCUAACGCAUUAAGUUCCCCGCCUGGGGAGGUACGGCCGGCGACGGACGAAACUAACUAAAGAAAGUUAGUUAGGUCGUUGAGAGNGCGACGACGACGACGAGGGAGGAGG
rnacentral:rRNA from 1 species